AUCCACGCGGCGCAGCCGGGUCUAUCACGUUCCCUGUUCUCCGGCCUCGAGUGACAGAGUCCCCAAAUAUUCAGCAUCCGCAAGAUCCACUCUCCGCCAAAGCAGUUUUGCUUCCCUCUGGCGUUUGUACCGGGACUCUUUGAAGCUGUUUGAAGAAAAACUUCCCUGGCAACAAAAAGUUUGGAAGAGGUUCUUGUGAAAGUCUCUUCCUGCUCGAAGAUUUCGGAAGGCUACUGAGCAAUCCCCCUGGCAGCGCUUCCGAAGGCGGCUCUGCUCUGCGCUGGAGGUGAACGAGGCCUGUCCCAAGUUUCCUACUUCACUCUGAGUCCCUGCGGCUCCAGUCUUGCGUCUGCGACGCGUUUUCCAGAGCCAAGCAGAAGCGUUCCUGCCUCCACUUCUGGCCUCUAAGCCAUUGUGACCUGGUUGUCCAGAGCCUUCCCACAGUUCUGCAGCCCAGACCCCAGAGCAGGAAACAGACCAGGACCAUGUGUAUGGGGGAGUCUGCCCCAGAGACAGAGUAGGCAGGUCAGUGUGCACCGGGGAAGGUGGGACUGCGCCUGCCUGGAGAAAGGAGCUCUUAUCCAUUAACGGGGAGGCUGGGUUCCCGGAUUACUUGUAAACCAUUAAUUUUUAGGCUCGUAAUUGACAUCUUAUGCUCCUCUGCCUUGGGCCUUGUGGCUGGAAUAAAGAAUAAAGGCCUGCCGGGUCCACGUGCAGGAGGAGUUGAGGCUGCACCCAGGCCACAGGAGGUGAGGGCGGACACAGCAGGAGCCCUCUCUUUGGACAGCCAAUGUGGAAUCCCCUUUGCACAGCUGUGUCAAUGAAUCAAGCACUUAGGAUCCUUCACUGGUGAGUGAACAAUUCGUCUGAAGUUUUAAAAUGUAAACUCUCAUUUAGCAGGGUUCAUUACCCAGGUGCUUAAAUCCUUGCUUCCCACUUGCACAGCUGUUCCUCUUAGGGAAACCUAAUCUCUCUCCCCUGCUUACACAACCUAGGAUCAGAGUGGAUCCCUUGUUGCUGUUGUUAACACCCCAAUUAAAUAAAAAAGCGAGGGGAGAAUCCUUGCUGAGGAGGCCAGUUUGCAAUG